AGUCAUUGCGUAUGAGUCACCGUUUGUUUAUAAACAUUGCAAGGUGGAAAAAAGAAUGGAGAAAAAAUUUCCGCCAGUCAUUGAACUGAAUGUGGGAGGAAAACAUUACACCACCACCUUGCUCACCCUCGUAAAAUGUAAGGACACCAUGCUAGCCGCCAUGUUCAGUGGGAACUAUGAUGUGAAGAUGGACCAACAUGGCCGCUACUUCAUUGAUGCGGAUGGGGAGAACUUCCACUAUAUUCUGAACUACCUCAGGUAUGGGGAGCUUCCCCCACAAGAGAUCUCUCCAAAGAUUUACAGGGAGGCGGUGUACUUCGGUCUACAGGGGAUGGUAGAGGAGUUAGAAAAGCACCCGAUAUUCCUUGCAAAGAUCCACAGGGAAAGUUUUAGAGCCCAAUUUCCAGGCUACACAAAACUGGUGAACUCCAUAAUAAACAAAGUUCAUCAGGAGUCAGUCCAAAAACAAGGAGACUGUUUCAUCAAUGCUGCUCACUCUAUUCGCAAAGGACAAAAAACCCAAACUGGAGACAUUUGACAAGAACCAUUGGUGCACUUUGAAAUCCAAGAACAAAAAGAAAGCAAAAACAGAUUUUAUUCUGGGUCCCUGGACGAGCAAGUCGACAGAGAAGGAAGUGAUGGACUGUAUUGCGUUUGACCUGAGGGAGCGGGGGUUUAGUCUGACCCAGGAGGGGGUCGGUCAGUGUUCCUAUAAAUGUGACAGUCCCCCAGACUACCCAGGGGAGGCUACUGUAGAAAACUGCCCUAGAUCCGUUUUCAAAUUGACUUUUUAUUGGUGGAAAUAAACCACUUAAAAAAAUUACUAUUAACCGAAUAUACCUCAUCAUGUUGCUGAAGUUUAUAGCAAUGAAAUGAACUUUUUUUGCUUAUUUGUACAUAUGAUAUUCAAUUUUACCUGUUUUACCUUUCAUUUAUAAUGUUAAUGAUUUUCAUAUUUUAUCCAUUGUUUUAAUCCUUGUUGCACAAAUUAAGUUUUUGGAAAAGUCUUACAAAACGAAAGAAAAAUUUAUCAUCAAGCUAUAUUUAUGAGAGUCUAUCCAUUACCUUAAUGUUUAUUUCUAUGCUUUUUUAUGUCCCUGAGGUCAGCAGUGUCAGUGGUAUUUUUUACUACCGGUAUUUGUUUUUGCUUUUGUUUAAGGUAACUGUAAUCUGAUGAAAACUUUUUACAGACAUGAAAUAUGACAUAUAGUGCUAUUUCUGUUGUAAAACAUUCAGUCUGGCCGGAUUACAUGUUUUUUUAUUUAACAAGGAGUCGACAAAGACACCUAAUACAUUUUACUUGCAUGGAUUAAAUUGAGAGAAUCCUAUUCAGUAACUGUGAACACCUUUUUUGGUAUCUGUUUUUCAAUAUUUUUGGCACAGAAGUAUAAUCUGUUUAUAGCAUGGUACUUAGUACAUUGCUUUGUCAUUCCAGUCUAUUCACACAAAUUAAAUAAAGUCUGGAGCAAACAUUUACAUUU
rnacentral:misc_RNA from 1 species